rnacentral:tRNA from 1 species
GGGGACGUAGUUUAGUGGUAGAACACAUGCUUUGCAAGCAUGGGGUCACCGGUUCAAAUCCGGUCGUCUCCA